CGCGCGGUGGGUGACGGCGACGCCCUUGGGCCGUCCGGUCGAGCCGGAGGUGAACACGACGUAGGCGGUGCGGUCCGCCUCCUCGCCGGGCGG
rnacentral:tRNA from 1 species